AGUGAACGCUGGCGGUAGGCCUAACACAUGCAAGUCGAACGGCAGCACAGUAAGAGCUUGCUCUUACGGGUGGCGAGUAGCGGACGGGUGAGGAAUACAUCGGAAUCUACUUUUUCGUGGGGGAUAACGUAGGGAAACUUACGCUAAUACCGCAUACGACCUACGGGUGAAAGCAGGGGAUCUUCGGACCUUGCGCGAUUGAAUGAGCCGAUGUCGGAUUAGCUAGUUGGCGGGGUAAAGGCCCACCAAGGCGACGAUCCGUAGCUGGUCUGAGAGGAUGAUCAGCCACACUGGAACUGAGACACGGUCCAGACUCCUACGGGAGGCAGCAGUGGGGAAUAUUGGACAAUGGGCGCAAGCCUGAUCCAGCCAUACCGCGUGGGUGAAGAAGGCCUUCGGGUCGUAAAGCCCUUUUGUUGGGAAAGAAAAGCAGCAGGUUAAUACCCCGCUGUUCUGACGGUACCCAAAGAAUAAGCACCGGCUAACUUCGUG
rnacentral:rRNA from 1 species